CACGGGGGGAGCAAGCGUUGUUCGGAAUCACUGGGCGUAAAGGGCGUGUAGGCGGUCAUGUAAGUGGGAUGUGAAAGCCCUCGGCUCACCCGAGGAUCUGCAUCUCAAACUGCAUGGCUUGAGUAUGGGAGAGGAUGAGGGAAUUCCUGGUGUAGCGGUGAAAUGCGUAGAUAUCAGGAGGAACACCGGUGGCGAAGGCGCUCAUCUGGCCCAAUACUGACGCUGAGGCGCGAAAGCUAGGGGAGCAAACAGG
rnacentral:rRNA from 1 species